rnacentral:rRNA from 1 species
GAUGAACGCUAGCGACAGGCUUAACACAUGCAAGUCGAGGGGCAGCACAGGGUAGCAAUACUUGGGUGGCGACCGGCGCACGGGUGAGUAACGCGUAUGCAACUUACCUAUCAGAGGGGGAUAGCCCGGCGAAAGUCGGAUUAAUACCCCAUGAAACAGGGGUCCCGCAUGGGAAUAUUUGUUAAAGAUUCAUCGCUGAUAGAUAGGCAUGCGUUCCAUUAGGCAGUUGGCGGGGUAACGGCCCACCAAACCGACGAUGGAUAGGGGUUUUGAGAGGAAGGUCCCCCACAUUGGUACUGAGACACGGACCAAACUCCUACGGGAGGCAGCAGUGAGGAAUAUUGGUCAAUGGCCGAGAGGCUGAACCAGCCAAGUCGCGUGAAGGAAGAAGGAUCUAUGGUUUGUAAACUUCUUUUAUAGGGGAAUAAAGUGGAGGACGUGUCCUUUUUUGUAU